rnacentral:rRNA from 1 species
AUUGAACGCUGGCGGCAUGCUUUACACAUGCAAGUCGAACGGCAGCGCGGGCUUCGGCCUGGCGGCGAGUGGCGAACGGGUGAGUAAUGCAUCGGAACGUGCCCAGUAGUGGGGGAUAGCCCGGCGAAAGCCGGAUUAAUACCGCAUACGAACUGAGGGUGAAAGCGGGGGACCGAAAGGCCUCGCGCUAUUGGAGCGGCCGAUGUCGGAUUAGCUAGGUGGUGGGGUAAAGGCUUACCAAGGCGACGAUCCGUAGCUGGUCUGAGAGGACGACCAGCCACACUGUGACUGAGACACGGCCCAGACUCCGACGGGAGGCAGCAGUGGGGAAUUUUGGACAAUGGGGGCAACCCUGAUCCAGCCAUGCCGCGUGCGGGAAGAAGGCCUUCGGGUUGUAAACCGCUUUUGUUCGGGAAGAAAUCCUCUGGGCUAAUACCCCGGGGGGAUGACGGUACCGGAAGAAUAAGCACCGGCUAACUACGUG